rnacentral:snRNA from 1 species
AUCACUUCUUGGCUUUUUGGCUAAUAUCAAGUGUAGUAUCUGUUCUUAUCAGUUUAAUAUCUGAUACAUCCUCUAUCUGAGGACAAUAUAUUAAAUGGAUUUUUGGAGCAGGGAGUUGGAAUAGGAGCUUGCUCCGUCCACUCCACGCAUCAGCCUGGUAUUGCAGUACUUCCAGGAACGGUGCAGAAAAA